UAGAAACGUGUUUUGUUUUGAAAAAGGAGAAGGUUGAUCGCUCCGGCGCGGCGGUGCCACCACCGGCCACCGCGCCGGAACUUGUUGUUUCGACGGAGAAGAAGGAGGAGGAAGGCGGCACGGCUUCAUCUUUCUAGAGAGAGGGGAGAGCUUCUCUCUCUAGAGGAAGGAAGAAAGAGAAAAGAAAGAAACAAAUGAAAUAAACCGGGAUCUAACUUUAUAUAUAGAACUUUAAACCGGACCGGUUUAUUUUCGGUUCUUUCCUUUCUCUCUUGAUCGCUAGAUUAAUCCAACGCUUUCUGUGCUUCCAGGCUUUCUGAUUUUGGGUUGGGCCUAUU
rnacentral:lncRNA from 1 species